AUGACUUUGAUCUCCGUCCUCAUCUGGACUGUCCUCUGCUGCUGCUUCACAGAGUCCAGAGGACAGGUCACAGUGACUCAGCCUGGAGCAAUGAGCUCUGCUCUGGGACGCACCGCCACCAUCAACUGUAGAACCAGUCAGAACGUUUAUGUUUCAAGCAACAACCACCGUUUAGCCUGGUACCAACAGAGAGAUGGAGACAAACCUAAACGACUUAUUUACUAUGUUUCCAAUCGAGAAUCAGGGAUUCCAGCUCGUUUUACAGGCAGUGGAUCAAACUCUGACUUCACUCUGACCAUCAGUGGAGUCCAGGCUGAAGAUGCAGCAGUUUACUACUGUCAGAGUGGACACUCUAUCAACAGUCAGUGGGUGUUCACACAGUGAAAAAGCGUCGUACAAAAACCUCCCUCAGUCAGACUGAACAGAAACUGAAGGGACUGCAGCAGCUGGAAGAUACUGCAGAGACUGAUACACUUCACUGAGGACACACACACACACAGUGGUCUUUGUGUAAAUAGUUUAUACAGGUCACUCCGUGUAUCUCAUGAUACAUCUAAGUAUAUAUUGAUCCAAAUGUAAUUACAGAUGUGAAGUAGAAUGUCUCAGUCGAGCUCAGAUCUUCACCAAAUUCAAAUAUUGAUGAAAAUGUUGAAAAAUCUCAAGUUAAGAAAAGUGAAGAUUCUCAGUCAUCCAGGUCAGGGUGUUUCCAAAAGCUGUCGAAAGGCAGCUGGACGUCCUGGGAGACGUUUCAUGUUCUUCUGAGCUGCAGUGAUGGAAUAAAAAUAAAAGCAUUGACACUGUCAGGAAUUCUGUUUAGAUAAAAGAAUCUUUGUGCAACUAAAAUGGAGCAAUAAUAUUUAUUAUGUAGUUAAACAGUGAUAAACUCUCCCUGUUUAUUAAAAGGAAAACAAUUCGACUCAUUUACAAAAAUUUCUUUUGCUCAUUAUUAUCACUUUAUUGUAAACUCUGUUUGUCCCUGUCAGGAUCCUGUAGGAAUUUUGACUGUGUUUUUUCCAGUAAUCUGAUUGGUCAGUAUUUGGGCUGUUGACAGGUUUAGAUCUGAUCCUCUGAACUA